AAACGUUAGGGGGGCGGCGGCGGCCAUUUUGUUUACAGAGUGAAAGUGACAGGAGCCGGGGAGAGAGUGGGAAGCAGAACGCCGGUGCUUCUCUCAGCCACGUCCCUCUUCCCUUCCCUGUCCCACCAUGUCGGAGAAGCUCAGCGCCGACAGCCGGUGCGAACAGACGGGCGACGAGAAACAGGGCAGCUUAGCAGCAUGGUGUGCAGCUCCCGAUACACAGGAGAAGGAAACAGUCAUCCCUGAGAGAGCAGAAGAAGCAAAACUAAAGGCCAAAUAUCCUAAUUUAGGACAGAAGCCAGGAGGGUCAGACUUCCUAAUGAAAAGACUGCAGAAAGGGCAAAAGUAUUUUGACUCGGGUGACUACAAUAUGGCCAAGGCAAAGAUGAAGAACAAGCAGUUGCCAACCACCGGGCCAGACAAUAACCUGGUGACAGGAGACCAUAUCCCGACACCACAAGAUCUUCCACCGAGAAAGUCAUCACUUGUAACCAGCAAGCUGGCAGGGUAAACCUGCACUUCUGUAUUUUUUUUUUUUUUUAUUUAUUAUUUGUGUGUGUGUGUGUGUGUGUGUGUGUCAAACUGAUUGAACUUCACUGUAUUAUAGGGCUGGGAUGAUCGGAAUUCAUGUAAUCAUUCAAAUACUUACAGUAAUCAAACAAAAGGAAAGCAAGUGAGAUGAGUUUAUAGUCCUGGGUGUGUGUGCAGAUUUUUACAACUGGUGAUCAUUCAGCUGAGUGGAUCCUUUCCAUACAAAGUCAGUUUGCUGCCUUAGUUUGCGUGCAGCUGAAAUCCCUCAGGUAUCAGAGGAGUCCUAGCAGAAGUGUUUGAACUUUGCCACCUCACUAUCUGAAGCUUAUAAAAGCAGAAUACUGCAUCAAAAGAUUGGCCCGCCAUUGGCUCUUAGCUUGGCGUGCAGAUCUUGGGCCUCUGGGAGCCUCUUGCUGUUCAGCUACUAGGUCCAAGGUACUGAGAGGUAUAGAAAGAAUUGGGCAGGACUAGGAUGACCAACAAAUAGGUGGCCCAUGGGUAUAUAUAUUAUGCUUGAGCUAAAUGAAUAGUGGAACUCUUGAACAAGAAAUUAGCGAGAAUACAGAAAGUAAUUCGGCAAAAUGUGUUUUUAAAGAAAUGUCAAUAUUUGCUAUUCUGCUUGGCUGAGCAAAUUGGGAACUAUUCCAUACUCACAGGUACCAAUGUGCUUUGGCAAAAUUAGAGUAAGCCCUCUUGACAGAAGACUCUCUCUUCAGUUCUACCUCCUGGAAUCUGCAGGUUUUUAAUCUUUGAUUUCCUCUUUGAAAAUCCAGUGUUCUUAAUUGUCAACAUUUAAAACAACCUACUUACCUUCAAUCAGAAUUUGUACCUGUGACUAAAUCGCUCUGUCUCAGGAACUCAUAUGGCCCUGAUCACCGUAAUAUCUGAGCACCUGACAAUCCUUAAUGUGUCGAUCCUCAUAGCACCCCUGUGAGCACAGCAGUACUAUUAUCCCACUUUUACAGAUGGAGAACCGAGGCACAGAGAAACUAAGUGAUUUGCACGUGGUCACAAAGUGGCCGAGCAAGGAACUGAACCUGUAUCUCCCAAGUUUCAGACUGAAAAUAAGGUGUAAAUUUUUAACGGUGAGAGUAAUGAACCAUUGGAACAAUUUACCAAAGGUUAUGGUGGAUUUUCCAUCACUGACCAUUCUUAAAUAGAGAUUAGUUGUUUUUCUAAAGGAUCUGCUCUGGGAAGUAUUAUGGCCUAUCUUUUGUACAGGAGGUCAGACUAGAUGAUCACAGUUGUCCCUUCUGGCCUUAGAUUCAUUCAUAGAUUCCAUGAGUCUAAGUCCCAGGCUAGCACCUUAACUAAUAGCUGAAAUUACAGAGUAAUAAAUUACUGCUCUGCACUGCAGCCUGUUACUGAUAAAAAAAUAUUUUUAAGCCUGUUGGAAAGGAUAAGGAAGAGUGUAAAGCAAACAUGGCUUAUUAGAUUGUAGUUCAGAAAAAUGGGACAAUAAUUAUGACCCUUCUAAACCCAUGAGGAUGCGUGGGGAAGAGGCAAUUCUCUUUGAAGCUAGAGGAUUUCAGGAUAGAAGAUCACCAGCCUGUAAAAAAACCUGAGAACCUGGGAGGAUGGAGUGGAAAGAAGCAUAAAAACAAACUUGCAUUAAUGGCAUAACACAUUAGUAGCUUGGUUUUUGUUUGUUUGUUUGUUUGUUUUCCCCUGCCUGUGUCUGUUUCAGGCCUGAAAACCAUGUUGAUUCAAUGGCUGCAGCUUGUGGAAUGCAAGAUCACAACUGAUAAUGCAUGUCAAAUAUGGUCUUCGUGUGGCAUAGAAAAUACAGCAUUUCACCCGGAACACAAGAUCGAACUGCAUUUAUAAUCUUGAGGAAUAUUUUAUCAGAGAUGCAACAAUGUGGUGGGUUACAAGGUGUUUCACUGGAACGAUAAUUUUAAGAUUUCAGCAUGCAGCUUGCUGUGCUGAAAGCAAACAUGAAUCUCUGUUUUAAGUCCAGAAUUUAAAGAUUUGGGUUUGUUUGUUUGUUUUUGGGGGACGGGGGAGGGAAUCUGUUUAAUCAGUUCAUUCUGUAGGAUACCAUAUCGAGGUCAAGAAAACCCAAUGAAAGGUAACACUUGAAACUCCACAAUUGAUGUAGCUUUGUCUACCUACAUUCUCUGCUAUGCCUUACUUUAGGGACUAAAAAUUACCAAGUAAUUCAUACAAAGGUCUGUUUCAGUUGACCAUGUUUUGCUGAUGAUGAUUUUAAAUGGAAAACAUGGUAUUGCUCUAGCUAAUCAGGGUAUUUCUAAAAGUCAUGUUUCAAAAAAGAAGUAAAACAUCCAUGUUUCGGAGGUUGUAAAGAACCAUUUUUUUUUCUUUUCAUAGAGACUGGUCAAUAAAAAGUCAAUUUCACCAGAGUGAAAAGGAGACAGGGUUUAGCGGGGAGUGGGAAAUUCCUUCUUUGUAAAUGUGUAAUUUCAUUCUUUAGUCUCCGUCUCCUCAUGCCUUAUGUCCAGGUUCGAAUCUGAGAAGGUUGGGGGGAAAAGCUACUGGUGUCUUGUAUAAUCUCCUCAAAUGUCUUGCUGUUUGUCCCAGCCACAUUGUAAAUAGAUAUGAAUCAUAUAUAUAUAAAUAUAUAUAAUUUUUUACAUCAUCUUCAUCUCUAUCUUCUAUUGUUCUAUGCUUUUUUCUUAAAAAAAAACAAAAAAAAACAAAAAAACUGCUCUUGCACUACUGAGUACCUGUCAGCUGUUGGCUAAACCUUCAUGGUGGUGUUCUCAGUGAAAUCUGAUUGACAGGGAGAACAGAGAGGGGAAUGAACAUGUUGAACCAUUUCCCCCCACUCCCUCCAGGAUUCAGGAAAUACCAAGUGUAUUUAUAUAGAAAGGAGGAAGAAAUUACCUUCAAAAUACUGAGUGAGAAACAUCAGGAGAGAUGAUUAUUUUAAAAAAUAAACUUGUCUCAAACACA